rnacentral:rRNA from 1 species
GCAAUGGAGGCAACUCUGACGCAGUGACGCCGCGUAUAGGAAGAAGGUUUUCGGAUUGUAAACUAUUGUCCUCAGGGAAGAAAAAAGACUGUACCUGAGAAGAAAGCCACGGCUAACUACGUGCCAGCAGCCGCGGUAAUACGUAGGUGGCAAGCGUUAUCCGGAUUUAUUGGGCGUAAAGGGAACGCAGGCGGUCUUUUAAGUCUGAUGUGAAAGCCUUCGGCUUAACCGGAGUAGUGCAUUGGAAACUGGGAGACUUGAGUGCAGAAGAGGAGAGUGGAACUCCAUGUGUAGCGGUGAAAUGCGUAGAUAUAUGGAAGAACACCAGUGGCGAAAGCGGCUCUCUGGUCUGUAACUGACGCUGAGGUUCGAAAGCGUGGGUAGCAAACAGG